rnacentral:rRNA from 1 species
GAUGAACGCUAGCGGCAGGCCUAACACAUGCAAGUCGAGGGGUAUAGUAGCAAUACUAGAGACCGGCGCACGGGUGCGUAACGCGUAUGCAAUCUACCUUUUACAGAGGGGUAGCCCAGAGAAAUUUGGAUUAAUACCUUAUAGUAUAGCAUCUUCGCAUGAAGUCACUAUUCAAGUUUUAACGGUAAAAGAUGAGCAUGCGUCCUAUUAGCUAGAUGGUAAGGUAACGGCUUACCAUGGCUACGAUAGGUAGGGGUCCUGAGAGGGAGAUCCCCCAAACUAGUACUGAGACACGGACCAGACUCCGACGGGAGGCAGCAGUGAGGAAUAUUGGACAAUGGGCGCAAGCCUGAUCCAGCCAUGCCGCGUGCAGGAAGACGCAUCUAUGGUGUGUAAACUGCUUUUGUACGGGAAGAAACCCCACUACGUGUAGUGGUUUGACGGUACCGUAAGAAUAAGGAUCGGCUACCUCCGUGCCAGCCGCCGCUAUAAGAC